rnacentral:lncRNA from 10 species
CAGCACUGUGAGGUACCUGUUACUGUACAGAAAGGAAAAAUGGAAGCACAGGGCAUUUAUGUAAUUUCUCAAGAUCAUACAGCUUUAUACAUGGUAGUAGAGCCAUGUACCAAACAAAGACAACCUGGUGAUGAACUCAUGUCCUUUGCUGUUAAAUAUUUAGUACAGCUUCUUGUAUAAGAUGAAAACCAUUCCAAAUGCAAAGAUGCCUCUCUUUACUAGGAAACCCAGCUUUGAGAAGCAGGGAUGAAGCAGGGAGGAAGAUGCAAAAAGAUGUAUUGAUUAUCAGGAGUAACAAAUCAAUCCUGGAGAUCAAGGAAGCAGUCCAAGCAGAGGUCAUAGAUAAAGGCAUGAGUGACCCCCGACAACAUCAUACGGAGGAGAAGAUCCACCCAGCUAAGCCCAGACAGCCCAGAGAAUGACACGAGGAUUCACCAUGUUGCCAAAGCUGGUUUUGAACUCCUGGGCCCAAGCACUCCACCGACCUGGGCCUUCCAAAAUGCUGGGAUUACAGGCAUGAGCCACCACGCCCAACCAACAGAGACAAAUGUUGAUAGUCCCCAUUUUACUCUCAAAUUUCAAGUAUCUUGUCAAGUCUUCUCCAUCUCAAUAAACAUCAAUAUUAUUUUCAGCAUUUCACAAGCCAAAACUUUACAAAUUUUAUGAAAUAUGAAAUUAGGUUAAAAACAAUACUUCAAAACACUUUAAAAUUAAUUCAUAUAUGAACUUAUGUAUUAUACAGUUUUAAGUGUAUGUGUAACAUAAACAAGUAUCAUAUUUAACAACUUGAAAAUUCUAUCUAUAUUCCUAAUGUGGGUAUAUAUAUAAACAUGUAUGUGUAGGUGUGUAUGUGUGUGUACAUAUAUAACACACACACACAUAUAUAUAUAUACACUUUGGCUCACAGGUUUUCUUAGUCAGUUCUGGCUGCUACAACAAAAUACCAUGGAAUGUGUGUCUUAAACAGCAAAGGUUUACUCUCACAGUUCUGAAGGCAAGGCAGUCCAAGAUCAAGGUAUCAAGAUGCCAGAAAAUUCAGUGUCUGGUGAGGGCCACUUUCUUGCUGUAUCCUUACAUGGUGGAGAGAGAGAUCACCUCUUCUUUUUGUAAGGGCAAUUAUAUUACCACAAGGUUCCUACCCUUGUAACCUAAUCUAACCCUAACUGUCUCCCAAAGGCCGCGCUUCCUGGUACCAUCACAUUGAGGAAUAGAACUUCAACAUACGAAUUUUAGGGGGACACAAACAUUCAGUCCAUAGCACAAAUAUAAAUAUACAUAUAUUUGAAUGCCUGAAUAAAUAACUCUUAAAAGUUUUAU